GACUCGUGCUAUUUAUGAAGGCUUUUCAUUGACCAGCAAAAAUAAGCGCUGUGCCUGGGGAAAACCCACUGAUGGUUUCAAUGUGGAUCGAGACAGAAAUAUCAGACAAGUGGCUGUUCUUCCUUAAAUGGCCAGAAAUGAGGCCAUCAGAUCCUUCCCAACAGCGUGGGAGGCAGAGGGGUCCUCAACUGCAAAGCAUCACAGUGCAGCACCUGAGCAGAUUCCCUCCCAGCUGAAGCUGUCACUUUUGCUCUUGCAGCGUCUCUGCUGGGUGCCUACAAAGUGGCACCGAGGACAAAUAAGGAUAACUUCUUCAAGGCUGAUUUCUGCUUAUUUGUUCUUACGCCAAGAUUUUUAUGUAGCUUGGAUAGGGGACUUCUUUUUCUCUCUCCCCCCCUCUACUGUUUACUCUCCUCAUGUAUUUAUAGACAGCAGUCAUAUCCUCUCCUAUAAUUUGUUUUUGUUAGGCUGUGCACAUUCCUUUUAUCUCCCCUUGUACAGUAUGUUCUCUACUUUGUCUGACUGGCCCCUAUGGUAGAAAGCUAUAACUGAGCAUUAGAAAGUAAGUCUCUAAGUUAUACAGUUUUCUUUGAAGCAGUUUCAGAAAGUCCUACAGAGUUUUAAGGGGAAGAGCCCCCAUUGUGAGGUGUUUGGUGCCUAUGGAAAUGGAUGCACCUCUGAGCUCAUAGAGGCACACAAUAACCACAGCCCCAUCCUAAGGAACCCAGAGAAAGCAAAGCAAGCCAAACUGCUGACUGUACAUUGAAUCCAGAGCAGCAAACAAGGUCAAAAAACGCAAAGCAGGUCAGAGGUACAGCAACAGAACAACCCCCAGGCUACAACAGAGCCUGAUAAAGAUAAUGAAGAUUAAACACAGCACAACCCUCACCACCCCCAACCAACAAGCACAAACCAGAGCCAAGUUCCAGCAAGAAGAUCCACAUAAAUGAGGAGUGGGAUGCCAUGGCUCCCCUUAUAUACAGCACCUGGGCCUGUGGGCGGGUUAGGAUGCUGGGAUAUAUAAGUGGCCCCCAGGUAAGGGCUGUGUUUAGUGCUGUGGGUGGGGGCUUGUUUCUGCUGUAGCUUUGCUUGUUAUGUUGCAUGGGCUACCUUUCUGAGCAGCUCUUUGCAGUGGGAUCUGUCCUUCAAGAGGAGAGCCGGUGUAAAGGGAAGAGAGAUGUUUGCUUUGGUGGCUGCUUAGCAUAAAGGAGGGAAUGUUUGAAGCUGAACUGUGUUUGGAAGGAAAUGUUCCUUGUGUGAUGUUACCCACGUGCACACAACUGUUCCAUACCCCAGGUGUGGGCAAACAGCAGGCAGAGUUAUUUUCUUCAAAGCAAUGCAUUUACAUGGUAAGAUUUCUUUUGCUGUACAGGACGAAAAUAAAUUAUGAGAGGAAAGAAGUCAAAAUUGUUCCUCUUGAGCAACCCUCCCGCAUCAGUGCUUCAUCUUUCCAUUAUGUGUGAUAUCAUUAAUCAUUCUGCUCCGAUAUUGGACACACAUUUGUGGGGGGGAAGAAAAAAAUCAGAUCACAAAGACACAAUAAUAGUGACUUAUGCGGAUCUGCAGCUAAUUAUAACAUGUUUGAAUUUCCAUCUUUCAUAAAAGACCUCUGUAAAAUGAAGAGCCUUUCACAGGGCUGAAAUGAGUGUCUGAGUGAAACUGGCAAGAAGACAAGGAGAGAGGAAAGAAACGUCCAAGGACAAUGGGAGGAAUCUCAGCAUCAUAAGGGCCAUAAACUGCAGGAAAUAUCCCUGGUUGGUGGUGGGAUUUUGUGAGACAGAAGCUGAGCAGCACAACACCCUGUUUGCAUCUGAUGGGAACCCACGUUGAUUAAAAGAGUGGUUGAGCUGGCUUCUAUUCUGGCAUUUGGUUUCCUAAAUCUAAGUGUAGGCUCAUGGUUAUGUAUUAGAGAGAAUUUCCUUUCUUGAAUAGUAGACAGUUUUCCUCACAGCUGUAAUUAUUCUCCUGUUUUUAAGGUAUGGCUCUUCUAGCAAUGCAUCUGUUCCUAUUUAUUCUUCAUCCUUUCAUUCUUCUAGAUUCCACUGUAUUCCUGUGGAAAUCAGCAUCCUUUAAGCUCCUAUAUUUCAAGGCCCAGAAGGUCUCCGUCUUUUCUGUUAUCCCCUUUCUCUCUCAUUGUCUGUGUGUGCCCUUCUCACACUACUGCUGGAAGAUAGGGGACUUGUCCUAAAUGCAUUACAGACCAGGAUGAGUUGUGGCAAUUAACUGUACCUCAGACUCGCAGAUGGAUUAAUGUAUUUUCUUCUUGAAGCACUCAUUAGUGUGAGUUGUGCCUUAAUAAGGAGUUCUCUUUCCAUUUGAGCACACCCUUGUGCUGUGGUUGCUUUCUAAAUCCAGCUUGCAUUUUGCCUCCUAAAACCAGGGUUGGCUCAGCUCUACCCUCACAACCUCCGAGUUACACAUAUCUGUCAUGCACAGCUCGUACCAGCAAUAUGAUCUGCCACUUAAAUCUUCCAUCAGGUUUUUUUAAUUAAGAACUGCAUAACAUUACUGUUCACGGCCUGGAUCAAUUUUACGCUUUAAUUUGUUGUGUCUAAAAGAAUGGUGGAAAUAUUCAAAGGCUUUUUCUCACUUCUGUGAACUCAUUCUCUAGUAUUGGCAUGAUCUCGGGGUUCUUGGAAGGAAAUAGAAGCUGCCACCUGCCUAACAGGGUUGGCAAUGGGAAAUGCAUUGCAAGGAACACUGCAGAAUUGCAGCAGUUCUAUGGUACUGUUGUCACAGGCAACAGAAAACUACCUGUCAGUUCUAAUCUGAAAUAUACCCAUGGACAAAAUGGGGCUGUGACCACUGUAUGCAGUACAAAAACUCAGUACAGAUGUAUGGAAAGCUCCAGAAGCUAUAACUAGUGCACUAAAAGCGAGUAAAGAGGCUCUAGACAACAUAAAGUAUGUGAGUUAUUUGCACUUUCAUAGAACCUUUCACCUGGGAAUCUUAAAGAGUUUUAUGGACAUUAAUGUAACCUUCCUGUGCCUUGCUGAGCAUAUAUUAAACACUGCCUCCACAUUAA